GAUUGAACGCUGGCGGCAGGCUUAACACAUGCAAGUCGAGCGGUAGCACAGGGGAGCUUGCUCCCUGGGUGACGAGCGGCGGACGGGUGAGUAAUGUCUGGGAAACUGCCUGAUGGAGGGGGAUAACUACUGGAAACGGUAGCUAAUACCGCAUAACGUCGCAAGACCAAAGAGGGGGACCUUCGGGCCUCUUGCCAUCAGAUGUGCCCAGAUGGGAUUAGCUAGUAGGUGGGGUAAUGGCUCACCUAGGCGACGAUCCCUAGCUGGUCUGAGAGGAUGACCAGCCACACUGGAACUGAGACACGGUCCAGACUCCUACGGGAGGCAGCAGUGGGGAAUAUUGCACAAUGGGCGCAAGCCUGAUGCAGCCAUGCCGCGUGUGUGAAGAAGGCCUUCGGGUUGUAAAGCACUUUCAGCGAGGAGGAAGGUGGUGAACUUAAUACGUUCAUCAAUUGACGUUACUCGCA
rnacentral:rRNA from 1 species